AUUGAACGCUGGCGGCAUGCUUUACACAUGCAAGUCGAACGGCAGCGCGGGCUUCGGCCUGGCGGCGAGUGGCGAACGGGUGAGUAAUGCAUCGGAACGUGCCCAGUAGUGGGGGAUAGCCCGGCGAAAGCCGGAUUAAUACCGCAUACGACCUGAGGGUGAAAGCGGGGGACCGAAAGGCCUCGCGCUAUUUGAGCUGCCGAUGUCGGAUUAGCUAGUUGGUUGGGUAAAGGCUUACCAAGGCGACGAUCCGUAGCUGGUCUGAGAGGACGACCAGCCAACCUGGGACUGAGAAACGGCCCAGACCCUUACGGGAGGCAGAGGUGGGGAAUUUUGGACAAUGGGGGAAACCCUGAGCCAGCCAUGCGGCGGGCGGGAAGAAGGCCUUCGGGUUGUAAACCGUUUUUGUUCGGGAAGAAAUCCUCUGGGCUAACACCCCGGGGGAUGACGGUACCGGAAGAAUAAGCACCGGCUAACUACGUG
rnacentral:rRNA from 1 species